UUACUGUGAUGGUUGCAUAGUUCAGAUUGAAUUGUGAAGAGAUACACCAUUUGUCUAAGGUAAAG